rnacentral:rRNA from 1 species
UACGGAGGGUGCAAACGUUGCUCGGAAUCAUUGGGCGUAAAGCGCGCGUAGGCGCGAAGCAAGUUGGAUGUGAAAGCCCUGGGCUCAACCUAGGAUGUGCAUACAAAACUGCUUCGCUUGAAUCUCGGAGGGGGACAGGGAAGUUCCCGGUGUUCAGAGGUGAAAUUCGUAGAUAUCGGGAGGAACACCAGUGGGCGAAGGCGCUGUCCUGGACGAUGAUUGACGCUGAGGCGCGAAAGCGUGGGGAGCAAACAGG